rnacentral:misc_RNA from 1 species
GAAAUGCGAUAAGUAGUGUGAAUUGCGGAAUUCAGUGAAUCAUCGAAUCUUUGAACGCACAUUGCGCCCCUUGGUAUUCCAUGGGGCAUGCCUGUUCGAGCGUCAUUUGUACCCUCAAGCUCUGCUUGGUGUUGGGUGUUUGUCCCCGUCUCCGCGCGUGGACUCGCCCCAAAGUGAUUGGCAGCCGGCGUACUGGUCCCGGAGCGCAGCACAUGUCGCGCAAACGAGUGCCUUGGUACGGCGGCGUCCAUAAGCCCCUCUCUCACGCUCUUGACCUCGGAUCAGGUAGGGAUACCCGCUGAACUUAAGC